rfam:Triticum aestivum genome assembly, contig: Triticum_aestivum_CS42_TGACv1_scaffold_095868_2AL
AGCUCAGUGAUUUUAGCCAAAUAAACUUUGGUCAUAUACGCUAUUCUGAAUAUGUUGUUGUAAAAUAAAUUUAUGAGAGCU